rnacentral:lncRNA from 1 species
UUCCAACAAGAUAAAAUGCUCCUAGGUUUACAUACGCUCCAAUCUUCUGCCAUCCACUCCCUCUUGCAACUCCUGGAAUUAAAAUUAAUUAUAUACAAAUCACCAUUUCAUUUUUACGCCUUAGAUUUACUUUUACUCUGUUUCAGAUGCCAUGUUGGUCAGAAUUCUAAAGUUGAAUCAAGGGUUUUCAAGGGACUACAAAAAUAAGAAACAGAGUUCAAAUGGGUAAUGAUUUUUUUCUACUGGGUCUUGAAAUUUACUCAAAAAAGUUACCUCUACUCUGCUUUUUUUUCUUUUUACUCUGCUUCAGAUGACAUGUUUUGGUGCAGGAUCCCAAAGUUGAAGGAAGGCUUUUUAAGGGAUAAGAAUAUAAGAAACAGAGCUAAAAUGGGUAAUAUAUAUAUAUAUAUAUAUAUACAUAUUUCAAACUACUAGGUCUUGAAAUUUACCCAACAUAUUUACAUCUACUCUGUUUUUUAACUCUGUUUCAGAUGACAUGUUGGUCAAUAUCCCAAAGUUGAAGGGAGGGUUUUUAAAAGGGAUAAGAAAAACGAGAAACAGAGUUCAAAUGGGUAUUUUUUUUCUUCUACCAGUUCCCGAAAUUUACCCAACAAAUUUACAUCUACUCUAUAUAUUUUCCUUUUUACUCUGUUUCAGAUUACAUUCUGGGGAGAGAGUUCCAAGAUUGAAAGAAGAUUCGAGUAAAGAUUUUUCAAUCUAGAUUUUUCUUUUCAAAACUAUGGGUCAAUUGAAUAUAAAAUUUCCAAUGAAUGUUGUCGUGUGUGUGUGU